rnacentral:rRNA from 1 species
UACGAAGGGUGCAAGCGUUACUCGGAAUUACUGGGCGUAAAGCGUGCGUAGGUGGUGAGUUAAGUCUGUCGUGAAAGCCCCGGGCUCAACCUGGGAAUGGCGAUGGAUACUGGCUCGCUAGAGUGCGGUAGAGGAGAGUGGAAUUCCCGGUGUAGCAGUGAAAUGCGUAGAGAUCGGGAGGAACAUCAGUUGCGAAGGCGGCCCUCUGGACCAGCACUGACACUGAGGCACGAAAAGCGUGGGGGAGCAAACAGG